CAUUGAUGUGAUGAUAACAUUGUCGGAAACACAAAAAAUAUGUCGACUAAAAAUUAUCAGACUACAAUUAUCUGAUCAAUG
rnacentral:snoRNA from 1 species